AUGAGUGGUGUUGCUGAUCAGAAUGUAUACGGCAGCAUUUAGAUUUCCUCUGAGCUUCAAACUCUCCUGAAAGCAGGUCAUGAAUUAUUAAGGUAGGCAAUUACCUUAACUGGAAUCUAUGAGGCUGUUUCAUCAGUGAAGUUGAGGAUCGCAAAAUCACAGCAUCACAGAAUGGCCAAGGUUGGAAGGGACCUCUGGAGAUCAUCUAGUCCAACCACCUCCUCAAGUAGUGUCAUCCAGAGCACAUUGCACAGGAUCACAUCCAGAUGUGACUCUCAAAUUCUACCUGUGGCGGGGAUCCAAGCAGGAGGUACUUGUCACAGAUGGCAGAACCCCAAGCUACAGGCAUUAUGUUGAUCAAAAACACUGCACAGGAAUUAUUCUCCUUUCUGUGGCCAAAGCAUGAAUUCUCCCUUGCAAGUCGAGUCCAAGCAAAGCUGUAAAAACGGGCAUCCUCAGAGAAUGACGGAAAUCUCAGUCCCUGUAAAGGUUUCCAAGGACUCUGAUUAUAAUCUGCAAGAUGACAUUGCUCUCUGAAUGGCCCUGAUCUGGAUCCCCAUCUCCCUGACUGACAGCCACAGACUGAACUUGGCCUUGUAGACCUCCAAGCAGCAUGGAUCUGUAAACACCUUCCCCUGGAGAA